UAUUAAAAAAUUUCAUCUAUUUAUACUAUUAAAAACUGGUAUGGCUGAUGGAAUAACCAAAUAGUGGCAUAUGUCAUGCUACGUGUAUCCCAUGUUGAUGUCCAGGGAUAAGUUUUUAACAAUAAAAAUGAAUGGAAUUUUUAAUA
rfam:Gossypium hirsutum cultivar TM-1 chromosome 10, whole genome shotgun sequence